GCAAACUUGGUCAUUUAGAGGAAGUAAAAGUCGUAACAAGGUUUCCGUAGGUGAACCUGCGGAAGGAUCAUUAUUGAAUAAAUCUGGCGUGGUUUGUAGCUGACUCUCCGGAGUACGUGCUCGCCCGUCACCUUUAUCUUUCCACCUGUGCACACACUGUAGUCCUGGAUACCUCUCGUCGAAAGGCGGAUACAGGGGUUGCCGUGCUUCCACAAGGAGGUCGGCUCCCUCUGAAUUUCCAGGUCUAUGACCUCACACACCCCAAACGAAUGUUACAGAAUGUUAAUCAAUGGGCCUCGUGCCUAUAAACCUAUACAACUUUCAGCAACGGAUCUCUUGGCUCUCGCAUCGAUGAAGAACGCAGC
rnacentral:misc_RNA from 1 species